rnacentral:tRNA from 1 species
GAGCCCGUAGCUCAGUUGGUAGAGCACUUGACUUUUAAUCAGGGUGUCCCGGGUUCGAGUCCCGGCGGGCUCACCA